ensembl:lncRNA
GUUAGAGGAGGCGGGUAGCCUAGUGGUUAGAGGAGGCAGGUAGCCUAGUGGUUAGAGGAGGCAGUUAGUCCAGUGGUUAGAGGAGGCAGGUAGUCUAGUGGUUAGAGGAGGCAGGUAGUCUAGUGGUUAGAGGAGGCAGGUAGCCUAGUGGUUAGAGGAGGCAGGUAGCCUAGUGGUUAGAGGAGGCAGGUAGACUAGUGGUUAGAGGAGGCAGGUAGCCUAGUGGUUAGAGGAGGCAGGUAGUCUAGUGGUUAGAGGAGGCAGGUAGUCUAGUGGUUAGAGGAGGCAGGUAGCCUAGUGGUUAGAGGAGACAGGUAGCCUAGUGGUUAGAGGAGGCAGGUAGUCUAGUGGUUAGAGGAGGCAGGGUAGCCUAGUGGUUAGAGUGUAGAGGAGGCAGGUAGUCUAGUGGUUAGAGGAGGCAGGGUAGCCUAGUGGUUAGAGUGUAGAG